rnacentral:tRNA from 1 species
GGAGGGGUGGCAGAGCGGCUUAAUGCACUGGUUUCGAAAACCAGCAUACUUAACGGUAUCGGGGGUUCAAAUCCUCUCCCCUCCGCCA